UAAACGUAUAGUUUUGACAUCCCUUUCAAAUGACACGCGGAUGUUUUGAAAGUUUGUUGUACCACGAGCUAUCACGAAAUGAUGCUGUAUUUCCCCUUAAACAAAUUAAGCACUGGGCCAAAAGGUGUUUAUACAGUAGUUUCUUCCUGUGCUGCGUUGUGCACAUCUGUUUCAUCAUCUGAGCUAUCAGUUGUGUUUCUUUGAAGCAAAGAUGUAUGGAAUAGCACUGAAAGUCGGAGGUGUCAUAUUUGUUCAACCUGGUGUUAAACGUAAUAUAAAUUCUUGACCAGUGCAUGUAAAGAAAUUGAAAAUAAAACCGACUUGACUUGUCAUUGGGUCUGAUUUUAAAUGUGCCAUAUAGUUCAAUGUGGGAGCAGGUUCACACACUAAAUAAGACACUAUGGUCAAGCACAAGCAGAUUUUUUUUAAACAAUUCUCAGAGCAGAUUAGAGCAGACGUUUCAGGUUGCUGCCAUCAGAGAGUAGUGACUUGACCGUAGUGUUUUUAGUGUGCUCCCACAUUGAACUCUACUUUUUGGGUCCAUGCACCUACUUAUUUCUAAACAUCUAGAGCGCAACAAUACCCCUGCCUCCUGAUGUGCCAUAUAACCUGUAUCUCUCUCUGUGUGUGUGUGUGUGUGUGUGUGUGUGUGUGUGUGUGUGUGUGUGUGUGUGUGUGUGUGUGUGUGUGUGUGUGUGUGUGUGUGAGAGAGAGAGAGAGAGAGAGAGAGAGAGAGAGAGAAUGUGUGCACGCAGAUAUAAGAAGUUGGGGUUGAUGAUCCACAUGAUGGUGAUGGACCAGGACAGCUCUGGACCUCCUGACUGGCAGCUCCAUCCUCAACCUCUCUUCCUGCCCUUCACACAUGUGCAGGCAGGCAGUUUUCUGAAAGAUGGUUGAUGUCAGUACCAACAUGUUGUGAUGGAGGCUUCCACCUGAGCUGAACACAGAAACUUGCACACAGUGAUGGAAGCAGUCGUUCCUGUUCAGCAUCGAUAUGCCAGUAAUGGGUUUGAUGAGCCACAGCAUGGUGAUGGGCAAUCAGCAUCAGGACCAGGGCAGCUCACAAGGAGAACCUCCUGCCCUGCCUCGUCAUCCUCAACCUCCCAUCUCCCUGCUCUUCACACAUGUGCAGGCACGGAGCCAGUUUUCAGAGGGAGGGCUGAUGACACCAGCAACUUUGGUUCUGAACCUGAUCAACCCAGCACCAACCACUGUGCCGCUCCUCCUCUGCCAACUGCACCACAUGGCUCCAACUGCACCACAUGGCUCCACCAUCUCAAAAAGGCACAGACACUACUCCACUUCCUGCAAAGAGAGAGAAGAGCCGACCGCCCCACAUCGGCACUCACCACCUUCUACAGGGGUGUCAUUGAGAGCAUCCUGACCAGCAGCCUCUCUGUCUGGCAUGGCAGCCGUCAAGCUGAAGACUAGAAGGCAGUACAGAGAGUGUGGUGAGAACGGCAGAAAAGCUCAUAAGAUCACCCCUACCAGCCAUUCAGGAUCUGUACACUUCACACUGUUCCAAGAGGGCAAUGAACAUCAUAAAGACACAACUCAUCCAGCAUACAGACUGUAUCCCUCCCUACUACCAUCAGGGAGGCGCAUGUGGUGCCGCACAAGCACACUGGGAAACGGCUUCUUUCCACAAGCCAUCAGACUCCUCAACGCACUGAAGAAAACCACAUGAAUAUUCCAAGGACACUGGAGAAUAUUCCAUGAACACUUCUUUCACCAUGCCACGUACACUUUACUCAUUGCACCUUAUAUACAGCAUCUUCACAUCA